GUUAUGGCCCACAAUAGAUAUCGAUUUGAAAUGUUUGACAGAUACGACAAAAUGUGAGUAUACAGUGUGGAUGUUCCCUCCAUCAAUCACAAUCCAGGACUUGGUCUUUCUUGCUGAAUUAAUUAAUUGACAAAUGCGCAAUAGAUCAAUAGACGUAUCCUCCCACCCAAGGACAAAACAGAAUACAAUGUGUAGAUAGUGAUCCUUCUAAAGACGCAAACUUCAAUU
rnacentral:lncRNA from 1 species